rfam:Lupinus angustifolius cultivar Tanjil chromosome LG07, whole genome shotgun sequence.
AAAGUUGAAUGAAGCCAAGGAUGACUUGCCGGCAUUAAUUUGCUAUACAAUUAGCUUUUGCUAUAUUCGUUCGGUUUUAUCGGCAAGUUUUCUUGUGGCUAAAUUUGCCUUUCU